rnacentral:rRNA from 1 species
UACGUAGGGUCCGAGCGUUGUCCGGAAUUAUUGGGCGUAAAGAGCUCGUAGGCGGUUUGUCGCGUCUGCUGUGAAAUCCCGAGGCUCAACCUCGGGUCUGCAGUGGGUACGGGCAGACUGGAGUGCGGUAGGGGAGAAUGGAAUUCCUGGUGUAGCGGUGGAAUGCGCAGAUAUCAGGAGGAACACCGAUGGCGAAGGCAGUUCUCUGGGCCGUAACUGACGCUGAGGCGCGAAAGCGUGGGGAGCAAACAGG